UACGUAGGGUGCAAGCGUUAAUCGGAAUUACUGGGCUUAAAGCGUGCGCAGGCGGCUUUGCAAGACAGAUGUGAAAUCCCCGGGCUUAACCUGGGAACUGCAUUUGUGACUGCAUGGCUGGAGUGCGGCAGAGGGGGAUGGAAUUCCGGCGUGUAGCAGUGAAAUGCGUAGAUAUGCGGAGGAACACCGAUGGCGAAGGCAGUCCCCUGGGCCUGCACUGACGCUCAUGCACGAAAGCGUGGGGAGCAAACAGG
rnacentral:rRNA from 1 species